GACGAACGCUGGCGGCGUGCUUAACACAUGCAAGUCGAACGGAAAGGCCCUGCUUUUGUGGGGUGCUCGAUUGGCGAACGGGUGAGUAACACGUGAGUAACCUGCCCUUGUCUGUGGGAUAAAUUCAGGAAACUGGGGCGAAUACCGGAUAGGAUCUCCUGCUGCAUGGUGGGGGUUGGAAAGUUUCGGCGGUUGGGGAUGGUCUCGCUGCUUAUCAGCUUGUUGGUGGGGUAGUGGCUUACCAAGGUUUUGACGGGUAGCCGGCCUGAGAGGGUGACCGGCCACAUUGGGACUGCGAUACGGCCCAGACUCCUACGGGAGGCAGCAGUGGGGAAUAUUGCACAAUGGGCGGAAGCCUGAUGCAGCAACGCCGCGUGCGGGAUGACGGCCUUCGGGUUGUAAACAGCUUUCGACGGUGACGAAGCGUGAGUGACGGUAAUGGGUAAAGAAGCCCCGGCUAACUACGUG
rnacentral:rRNA from 1 species